rnacentral:rRNA from 1 species
GAUGAACGCUGGCGGCGUGCCUAAUACAUGCAAGUCGAGCGAACAGACGAGGAGCUUGCUCCUCUGACGUUAGCGGCGGACGGGUGAGUAACACGUGGAUAACCUACCUAUAAGACUGGGAUAACUUCGGGAAACCGGAGCUAAUACCGGAUAACAUGUUGAACCGCAUGGUUCAACAGUGAAAGACGGUCUUGCUGUCACUUAUAGAUGGAUCCGCGCCGCAUUAGCUAGUUGGUAAGGUAACGGCUUACCAAGGCAACGAUGCGUAGCCGACCUGAGAGGGUGAUCGGCCACACUGGAGCUGAGACGCGGUCCAGACUCCUACUGGAGGCAGCAGUAGGGAAUCUUCCGCAAUGGGCGAAAGCCUGACGGAGCAACGCCGCGUGAGUGAAGAAGGUCUUCGGAUCGUAAAACUCUGUUAUUAGGGAAGAACAAAUGUGUAAGUAACUAUGCACGUCUUGACGGUACCUAAUCAGAAAGCCACGGCUAACUACGUG